UCUCUGGUAGUCCAGUGGUUUAGACUCUGAGCUUCCACUGCAGGGGGCACAGGUUCAAUCCCUGGUCAGAGAA
rnacentral:tRNA from 1 species